rnacentral:rRNA from 1 species
CUGUUAGAUGAUAGGGCGAAGUCUGAUGCAGCAAUGCCGCGUGAGGGAUGAAGGCUUUUGGGUUGUAAAGCUCUUUCACUUUGGAAGAAAAUAUCUGUACGUACCUAAGGUGGGCCGGCUCUGUUGCCGCCAGCCCCCCCGGUACUAUAAUAUGCG